GACGAACGCUGGCGGCGUGCUUAACACAUGCCAGUCGAACGGAAAGGCCCUGCUUUUGUGGGGUGCUCGAGUGGCGAACGGGUGAGUAACACGUGAGUAACCUGCCCUUGACUUUGGGAUAACUUCAGGAAACUGGGGCUAAUACCGGAUAGGAGCUCCUGCUGCAUGGUGGGGGUUGGAAAGUUUCGGCGGUUGGGGAUGGACUCGCGGCUUAUCAGCUUGUUGGUGGGGUAGUGGCUUACCAAGGCUUUGACGGGUAGCCGGCCUGAGAGGGUGACCGGCCACAUUGGGACUGAGAUACGGCCCAGACUCCUACGGGAGGCAGCAGUGGGGAAUAGUGCACAAUGGGCUGCAGCCUGAUGCAGCAGCGCCGCGUGCGGGAUGACGGCCUUCGGGUUGUAAACCACUUUCGCCUGUGACGAACCGUGAGUGACGGUAAUGAGUAAAGAAGCACCGGCUAACUACGUG
rnacentral:rRNA from 1 species